GAAGAUAUUGAUGAUGGUUUCUCCAAAACUGACAUCAGUACUUAAUGGUGAUUUUGAUCACACAGCGACUACACUGAAUCUCU
rnacentral:sRNA from 1 species